UAGCCAAGGAAAGGGGUGACAGAUGGC
rnacentral:piRNA from 1 species